CCUGCGCGUCGUCCCUGUGCCAGGGCAUGCUUGAGCUCAGCCUGCGGGCUGUACUCUUAUGUUUAAGAGCUGUGAUUUUGUCAUGAUCUUCUGCUGGAAGUCCUGACUCUCCAGAGCUCUGCUCCUGGCUCAGAGGCUUUACCCCAGUGACUGAUAAGAACCCAAGUGGACAGGCCAGGUACAGCAAGUCCAAGGCUGCAGGCAGCUCAGGUGCCUUUCCCCUCAAGUGACACAGAGAACCCAGCUGGAGUUUGCACACAGAAUUGACAGCAGUUGGAACAGAAGCUUCGUUUGGCUGUGGAAGGAGCUUUGCAGUAGCCACUGUCCUGAAACAAUUAGGGCAGGUCCCACCAGGGGCUGAGGCUUCUCUCCCUCACCUCAGUAGGAGCUGGGAGAUCUCCUGUGGGCUGGUUCUGCCAAACCUCACAUGAGCUGAGCGGCACCAGCACCAGGAGGAGCUCAGCACAUUUUAAGAGGGGCUGCACAAGGGCGUGAAGUCAC